ensembl:lncRNA
CUAUGAACAAAUAUAUAGACGAAUUUCGUAAUGUUAUGUAUGGCAAUAUUCUAAUGUUUGUUUUUUUCAGUUUAGUAAAUAAAUUAUCGUAUCAAUAAUUCUGCCAAACACCAAUUGCUCCUCUGUGCGACAAUUUGCACUUAAUUUUGGUACCAAAUUCUUUGUAAUUGUAUAAUUGAUUUUGUUUCAUUAAUCUGCCUGUUUGUUCGCUUCAGUUCCUCUUUUCAUUUCUACACCACUAAUCUGAUGUGGCAGGCACCGCAGCAGGGCUCAUAGGGACUGGAAGAUGUGGUUUUCAGGCUUCAGUUCAGUUUUCUGAAAACCACUUCCAGUGUUCGAGUCAUGCAGAGGCCAAUAUAUCAGUGACAUCACAGAGCUUUAGAGAAGAAAGAGGAGGUUGAAGAGAUGGACUCAACAAACGUCCAACUAUACAGUUUAUUCUAGCCUGAGUGUCAGUCUGUUUAUGCCAUCAUACCACUCCCUGCCUGUUCCUUUAACAUGACAGCACAAACUAUUCUAGGACCAGGCUACAGCUCACGGUGUGUGUGAGAGAAAUCAAAGAGUCUACAGAGGAAUUCACUGAAUGAUUGGCCUUUUUCAUUCCUCUGUCAAAUGUAUAGAACAUUGAGCUGAACGUGUAAAGUGCAGUACAGGCCUCGCAGGAGAACCUCAGUGACAGAAGAGCACGUGGGACCCAGAGGUGAUCCGAGUGUGCUGAGAUGGUGUGUGUGUGUGUGUUUACCGCUGUGGUCUUCUCCAUUUCCUGGUGAUACAGUGUUCCAAACUCCCUCUCUCUCUCUAACUCCCAUUCUUAGUCUAUUACUUACUAUCUGUCCUGUAAAAUAUGUGUCUGACACAUAGUUAGGACAGAAAAUGAAAGAUUCCCGAGCCAGGGAACCAUUCAACCUCAUCCUAUUACAGUGCAAUAUUUUAAAUUUUGCAGUUAAAGCUCUCGUAAACAUGCAGUACCAGUCAGAGGUUUGGACACACCAAAUCCUUCAAGAGUGUUUUGAGAGUGCCAGGUGUGUGUUAGGUUGUCAUUAAAUCAAUGGUUGUGGAAGAAUCUACAAUAUGAAAUAUAGUUUUGAUCUGUGGAUCACUUUUUUGGUUGGUACAUGAUUCCCGUAUGUGUUAUUUAAUAGUUCUGAUUCUACUUUGUGGUGAAUAGUGAAACUAAAGGAAACCCUUGAAUGAGUAGGCGUGUCCAAACCUUUGACCGGUAUGAUAUGUAUAUGUCUCUUUUUUUCUCACUUCUGGUCUGUGUCCAGUCCUUGAAAACACAUUUUGGUUGGUUUACAGCAUCCCAAGAUGCAGGGUCAGGAGUCAACUCAUUUAUCAAUUCAAGAAAAUAUAAAAAAUGUAUUUCAAGACUUGGAAUGGAUUUUCAACUUCCUUCCUGAAUUGACAAAAUGUAACAACUGAAUGUCCUACCCUGCUCUGGGACUCUGGGUUGAUUCUCAGUAAUGAUGAACUGAUAAACUUUUAGGGAGAGGAAGUUGACGGGCCACCACACAGCAGGCUGCAUGUUUCGAUGUUCUUAAGCCUCCAGCAUGCCCCGACGGGAACGUGACGCAAUGCCAGAAACAUUAGUAACUAAGAAAUUUAGUUUUUGUCUGAAAAGCUUUUCUAUGAUGUAGAAACUGAAUAUUGCGAAGCACACCUUUCUUCCUUUGCUCUCUCUCUUCCUCUCUGUCUUUCCCUGUCUCUCUCUGCUCAGCCCAAUGUCUUUUGCGUUUCUCUUUUAUAAAUAUGCUCUUCAGAUACUCUGUUGUUGAUGGUGUUUGAUAUGUCUUGUGGUACUCUUAUUGCCUUGGGGUUGUGGUGUAAUUCUUGUAUAUGAUAUAUAUUUAGCAUUGAUGAUGAUGAUGAUGAUGUUGUUGUGGAAGACACUAGUUACAUAAAGGCUAUGGAGAAAACAGGUUGACCAAAAUUAUCAUGUGACCUGUCUUUCUCCUAUCGGAUCCAUGUGGGGAAAUUUCAAUAAAGAUGACAACAUCAUGGGCAA